rnacentral:rRNA from 1 species
CCGGCGACCGGCGCACGGGUGAGUAACACGUAUGCAACCUGCCCUCCGCAGGGGGAUAACCCGGAGAAAUCCGGACUAAUACCGCGUGGUACAUCUGUGGGGCAUCCCACGGGUGUUAAAAGGAAGCGGUUCCGGCGGAGGAUGGGCAUGCGGCGCAUUAGCUAGUUGGCGGGGUAACGGCCCACCAAGGCGACGAUGCGUAGGGGUUCUGAGAGGAAGGUCCCCCACACUGGUACUGAGACACGGACCAGACUCCUACGGAAGGCAGCAG